UUAACUAUUAUAUAGUACUCAGACAUCACUAAAAACAAGAGUUAUGGUCCUCUGGCGGGCACUCAACAGCCGAAGCCGCUGGCACGAGGCGGCCCGCCAAAGCAACAAAGGUAGUUUAUUCAAGGGUGGAGUUCAGGACCGAGCUUCUCUGAGAGGCCCGACGACUCUAAACCCUACUGAAGUAGGGUAGCCCCGGGAGCGAGCUCCGCAGGCGCUGUCUAUCCUUUGCUCUAGUAAUGAUCCUUCCGCAGGUUCACCUACGGAAA
rnacentral:misc_RNA from 1 species